UACGUAGGGUCCGAGCGUUGUCCGGAAUUACUGGGCGUAAAGAGCUCGUAGGUGGUUUGUCGCGUUGUUCGUGAAAACUCACAGCUCAACUGUGGGCGUGCGGGCGAUACGGGCAGACUUGAGUAUUGUAGGGGAGACUGGAAUUCCUGGUGUAGCGGUGGAAUGCGCAGAUAUCAGGAGGAACACCGGUGGCGAAGGCGGGUCUCUGGGCAGUAACUGACGCUGAGGAGCGAAAGCGUGGGGAGCGAACAGG
rnacentral:rRNA from 1 species